UAAAUAUCCUUUUUAUAAGUUCAUUUUUUUUUAGUAGCUUAUAGAGAAUCGCAUGUCUCUAUUUUAGAUUCCGACGAUUGAUUUCUGCGCAUUUUCGACUGGAUAUAUUUUUUAUCCUAAAGCUGCGUUAAGGUAAGCGACCGGACACUUGUUAGUUUUUCGUAAAAUAAUUUAGAAAAAUAUUUCGAUUGUAUGAAAAUCUUAUUUUGUAGAUUUUAAAAUUAAGGGUUAAGCAUAUUAUUAAAUAUUUCUGUAUAUUGAGCUUCAACUGUGAUUGACGGGUCCUUUUAAUAAAAUAAAUUUUUGAAAUUUGAAAAUCUGUUUUGUAAAUUAGUGACUGGAUAAUUUUUGAAUUAUGAUGUCUCCUGGUAUUAUGCUAUGCUAUGUUG
rnacentral:lncRNA from 1 species